AUUUAAGUAGCUUAAAUUAAAGCGUGGUAUUGAAGCUGCCAAGAAGAUUUUAGAAUCCUUAAAUA
rnacentral:tRNA from 1 species